CAAGAAACGAGGCCGCGUGCGCUCGCCCGCCCGACCCCGCUCCUUACCUUGCCUACUGCAACCGUUUGUUGCUUCCUGGCGGCGGACUGCCCGCCGCCAGGGACGUUGAUACAACCCUGUAUAGAAGCAUUGAAGCUCUGAGAAAAUGCGAAAUCGUA
rnacentral:misc_RNA from 1 species